UAUUAUUCUUAGAUGAAUACGUUCUUAGGUUAGUAAUAGUUAUUUACUUAAAAAUUAAAAAAUUUGGCGGUAGUUUAAUCUCUCCAGAGGAACUUGUUUUUUAAUCGAUAACCCGCGAAGUAUCUUGCUUAUUAAUGUAAAGUUUGUAUACCAUCAUUAUCAGGUAAUUUUGAAAAAGUUAAUUAUUGAAAAUAAAAAGUUUUAUUAAAAUUAGAUCAAGGUGCAGCUGAUGAAUAAGUUAAAAUGAGUUACAAUAAAAUAUUUUAUUACGGAUAAGUAGAUGAAUAUUUGCUUAGAAGGUGGAUUUGGUUGUAUUUAAAAUUUAAUAUGUUUUAAAGAUGAUAGCUCUAAAUUAUGUACAUAU
rnacentral:rRNA from 1 species